AACAAACGCUGGCGGCAGGCCUAACACAUGCAAGUCGAGCGCGUAGCAAUACGAGCGGCGCACGGGAUAGUAACGCGUGGGAACCUACCUUUCGGUUCGGAAUAACAUCGGGAAACUGGUGCUAAUACCGGAUGCGCCCUUCGGGGGAAAGAUUUAUUGCCGAUAGAUGGGCCCGCGUUGGAUUAUCUAGGUGGGGAGGUAACGGCCGACCAAGGCAACGAUCCAUAGCUGGUCUGAGGGGAUGAUCAGCAUCACUGGGACUGAGACACGGCCCAGACUCCUACGGGAGGCAGCAGUGGGGAAUAUUGGACAAUGGGGGCAACCCUGAUCCAGCCAUGCCGCGUGAAUGAUGAAGGCCUUCGGGUUGUAAAGUUCUUUUGGUGGGGACGAUGAUGACGGUACCCACAGAAUAAGCUCCGGCUAACUUCGUGCCAGCAGCCGCGGUAA
rnacentral:rRNA from 1 species